rnacentral:rRNA from 1 species
GGCGGCGAGUGGCGAACGGGUGAGUAAUACAUCGGAACGUGCCCAAUCGUGGGGGAUAACGCAGCGAAAGCUGUGCUAAUACCGCAUACAAUCUACGGAUGAAAGCAGGGGAUCGCAAGACCUUGCGCGAAUGGAGCGGCCGAUGGCAGAUUAGGUAGUUGGUGAGGUAAAGGCUCACCAAGCCUUCGAUCUGUAGCUGGUCUGAGAGGACGACCAGCCACACUGGGACUGAGACACGGCCCAGACUCCUACGGGAGGCAGCAGUGGGGAAUUUUGGACAAUGGGCGAAAGCCUGAUCCAGCCAUGCCGCGUGCAGGAUGAAGGCCUUCGGGUUGUAAACUGCUUUUGUACGGAACGAAACGGCCUUUUCUAAUAAAGAGGGCUGAUGACGGUACCGUAAGAAUAAGCACCGGCUAACUACGUGCCAGCAGCCGCGGUAAUACGUAGGGUGCAAGCGUUAAUCGGAAUUACUGGGCGUAAAGCGUGCGCAGGCGGUUAUGUAAGACAGUUGUGAAAUCCCCGGGCUCAACCUGGGAACUGCAUCUGUGACUGCAUAGCUAGAGUACGGUAGAGGGGGAUGGAAUUCCGCGUGUAGCAGUGAAAUGCGUAGAUAUGCGGAGGAACACCGAUGGCGA